rnacentral:rRNA from 1 species
UACGUAGGGGGCAAGCGUUAUCCGGAAUCACUGGGCGUAAAGGGUGCGUAGGCGGCUGAUCAAGCCAGGGGUGAAAGGCAAUAGCUUAACUAUUGUAAGCCUUUGGAACUGGUCAGCUUGAGUGCAGGAGAGGAAAGCGGAAUUCCUAGUGUAGCGGUGAAAUGCGUAGAUAUUAGGAGGAACACCCGUGGCGAAGGCGGCUUUCUGGACUGUAACUGACGCUGAUGCACGAAAGCGUGGGGAGCAAACA